ACUCCUACGGGAGGCAGCAGUGGGGAAUUUUGGACAAUGGGCGAAAGCCUGAUCCAGCCAUGCCGCGUGCAGGAUGAAGGCCUUCGGGUUGUAAACUGCUUUUGUACGGAACGAAACGGCCUUUUCUAAUAAAGAGGGCUAAUGACGGUACCGUAAGAAUAAGCACCGGCUAACUACGUGCCAGCAGCCGCGGUAAUACGUAGGGUGCAAGCGUUAAUCGGAAUUACUGGGCGUAAAGCGUGCGCAGGCGGUUAUGUAAGACAGUUGUGAAAUCCCCGGGCUCAACCUGGGAACUGCAUCUGUGACUGCAUAGCUAGAGUACGGUAGAGGGGGAUGGAAUUCCGCGUGUAGCAGUGAAAUGCGUAGAUAUGCGGAGGAACACCGAUGGCGAAGGCAAUCCCCUGGACCUGUACUGACGCUCAUGCACGAAAGCGUGGGGAGCAAACAGGAUUAGAAACCCUAGUAGUCCCAUGA
rnacentral:rRNA from 1 species